rnacentral:rRNA from 1 species
GGAAUAUUGGACAAUGGGGGCAACCCUGAUCCAGCCAUGCCGCGUGAGUGAAGAAGGCCCUAGGGUUGUAAAACUCUUUCACCGGGGACGAUGAUGACGGUACCCGGAGAAGAAGCCCCGGCUAACUCCGUGCCAGCAGCCGCGGUAAUACGGAGGGGGCUAGCGUUGUUCGGAAUUACUGGGCGUAAAGCGCGCGUAGGCGGUUUGCCAAGUCAGGCGUGAAAGCCCCAGGCUCAACCUGGGAACUGCGUUUGAUACUGGCAGACUAGAGGCCGGGAGAGGGUAGUGGAAUUCCCAGUGUAGAGGUGAAAUUCGUAGAUAUUGGGAAGAACACCAGUGGCGAAGGCGGCUACCUGGACCGGACCUGACGCUGAGGUGCGAAAGCGUGGGGAGCA